rnacentral:rRNA from 1 species
GAUGAACGCUGGCGGCGUGCCUAAUACAUGCAAGUCGAGCGAACGGACGAGAAGCUUGCUUCUCUGAUGUUAGCGGCGGACGGGUGAGUAACACGUGGAUAACCUACCUAUAAGACUGGGAUAACUUCGGGAAACCGGAGCUAAUACCGGAUAAUAUUUUGAACCGCAUGGUUCAAAAGUGAAAGACGGUCUUGCUGUCACUUAUAGAUGGAUCCGCGCUGCAUUAGCUAGUUGGUAAGGUAACGGCUUACCAAGGCAACGAUGCAUAGCCGACCUGAGAGGGUGAUCGGCGACACUGGAACUGAGACACGGUCCAGACGCCUACGGGAGGCAGCAGUAGGGAAUCUUACGCAAUGGGCGAAAGCCUGACGGAGCAACGCCGCGUGAGUGAUGAAGGUCUUCGGAUCGUAAAACUCUGUUAUUAGGGAAGAACAUAUGUGUAAGUAACUGUGCACAUCUUGACGGUACCUAAUCAGAAAGCCACGGCUAACUACGUG